AUUGAACGCUGGCGGCAGGCCUAACACAUGCAAGUCGAACGAGGGGCGGACGGGUAAGGAAUAUGUGGGAAACUGCCUGAUGGGGGGGGAUAACUACUGGAAACGGUAGCUAAUACCGCAUACAAUCGAAUGUGCCCAGAUGGGAUUAGCUAGUAGGUGGGGUAACGGCUUACCUAGGCGACGAUCCCUAGCUGGUCUGAGAGGAUGAUCAGCCACACUGGAACUGAGACACGGUCCAGACUCCUACGGGAGGCAGCAGUGGGGAAUAUUGCACAAUGGGCGAAAGCCUGAUGCAGCCAUGCCGCGUGUAUGAAGAAGGUCUUCGGGUUGUAAAGUACUUUCAGUGGGGAGGCGUUACCCACAGAAGAAGCACCGGCUAACUCCGUGCCAGCAGCCGCGGUAAUUC
rnacentral:rRNA from 1 species